rnacentral:lncRNA from 1 species
UUUUUUUUUUUUUUUUUUUUUUUUUUGUCUUUUUAGGGCUGCACCUGAGGCAUAUGGAGGUUCCCAGGCUAGGCAUCUAAUUGGAGCUGUUGCUUCUGGCCUAUGCCACAACCACAGCAACACCAGAUCCGAGCCGCUGUCCUCAUGGCUGCUAGUCAGAUUCAUUUCUAAUGGGCCACAACAGGAACUCCCCUCCUUUUUUUAAAAAAAAUGAAGCCAAAUAUAUUUCUGUAUGAUAUCUUUACUCCGAUUUUGGACAGGGUUAAUUAAAAGGAAAAAAAUACAUAUUAAAAGGCCAAUUUGAUUACUGCUACAUAUUAGUAAUGUGAUGAAUAAUUGAUUGAAUGUCUAUGUUAAUUGCUUCCUGAAUCAGUGAUUUUGCUACUGAAUACUGAAGAGCUGUUGCUAUUUUGAAAUUAGUAAUAAUUUCACUGCACCAGGAGGGCAGAAUGUACCACAUGAGUACCCCUGGGUUUAAGCCUCCCUCUACUGGGCGUCCACUCCCUUCAUCCCGACUUCUCUAUUUCUUCCCUGGGUCUUUGUCUACCACUGGCUCCUGGGACCAGCAAGUCUCAAAGGUCCUUUGUUUAUAUCAGACUUCAAGGGGAGCUUGUUGAAAUGCAUAUUCCCCGCUCCAGGUUAUUAUCUGGCAAACCUGGGAAUCUGUAUUGUUAACAAGCAUCUCUGAGCUGGGUUGGGGGUUUCCCUUUGAAAAGAGCUGGCUGAGGUAGAGAUGCCAUGUGAGGUCCUGUCUCCAAACUCUGAGGGCAAUGGCUUCUUCUCACUGGGUUUCAACCCUCAGCAUCUUUGCUGGUGAAUCUCCAUCCAGUGCAACUCGUCUGUCAAUCUGCGAGUGGCCUCCCACAGGCUGCUUUUCCUCUGUGAGCUGCCAGGUCAGCAGAUAGGGGAUAUGCCCAGCCCUACUUCUCUAACUGAGAAGCCUCUUCUACUCUCUUACCAGCUCUUUCCCAAACACCCAUUCAGCAGCCGCUCCUACCUGUUUCUCCUCAGUAUAAAUCCUAUUGCAAUAUUUAUUUCUGCGACUUUUAAAAGUAGGUUUCCAAGAGUCCUUUUCCUCUUCCCAAAGGUCCUUCUAUUUCCUGUCUGUUUCAUAGAUGCAGCAUCUUCCUCCUUUGAUAUGUUAAUUACAUUGGUUUUGGGCAGUUAUCUUCUGCUUCCUGCAUCACCUCUAAUUUCUCUCAGUUUUUUUUCUCUCUGCUUUGGUCCUCACUUUCUUCAGAAAGUGGAUGUCUAUUUGCACUUAGGGGAGAAGCACAAACAGCUCCGUGGGAGUUCUGUGGGUGGGGGUGAUCAAUGAAGGGUGGGCUUCACUGAAGGUAGCUGAGGUGGGCUGUGUUCUGGGAGGCUCCAACAUGGCAGUGUCUAUGGGUGUUUCUUUGGGGGCUGGUGAGUUUCCCCAGAGCAGAAUCAUCUAGCUUUCUGCCCAGGGGAUCUGCCUGGCUGCAGGCACUCUCAGAGCAAACUAGACAACUGGUUUUUCCCAUAUCUACUUUGUCUUCCAUUGGCUUUCACUCCAUCUCCUCCUUCUCACAUGGCCUCUAACAAAACCUCAUCCUUAGCUGUGCCUCCAACACACUUUCUGCCAGCACGUCUGACCACCCUUGCUCCCUGAGACUAUCGGGUUCCAGUCUCCUUUGCACCAGCUCUUCCUCCCCUCCAGGCCAGGUGGACACCUGCUAAGGCCCAGCUCACAUGCCUCAUCUCUGGGCAGCCUCCCUGUGGGCCCUCCUGAGUCUCAUACAGGUGGUCGAGGGCACAGGCUCUGGAGCCAGACUACCUGGAUUCAGGAUCUCUUGGGGCCUGACAAGUUCUGGCCCCUCUGAGCCUAGCCCCCUCCUGAGGAACGGGGCAUGAGAACAGCACUACUUCUCCAGGAGGACAGGAGGAGAGGCUGUGAGGGAAACCCAGCAUGGAGCCUGGCACAGGGCACGCCCUGGAACACCAGCUCUUCUAGCUACUGCUAUUACGUUCCACCUUUGAGCUGAGCAUACACCCAUUUCACACAGUGCCCUGGGAGGCAGAGGAGAUGUCCUGUGUGGGUGAGUGGUGGAUGCAGCCAGGUGGUGACAGGGCCCAGGAGUCUUCUCCUUUUUAUCUCUAGGGACAAAGUUCGAGGGAGAGCCACAGGGGUCAGAAAGAACCUCAGAAGCACUGAGCAGACGCCAGAUCCCUUUCUUUCCUUUGAAUGGAAUUCUGUUUAGUGCCAACGCAUCCCACAACACAUGUGAAUACAACAGACAGAUGGACUACAGGUGAAAGGUGCCUGACGCGUGAUCCUACUCUCUCUUCUAUAUUCUUAUUAAUUGAGAACAUUAAGGAAAACAAGUAAAAAUAUUUUGUUUCGACUCAUUGUUAAAAACUUCACCAAAAGUCAGACCUGGAAGACCUCUUUUAGGAUCCCUGAGCAGGUGGGAAAACCGAGGAUCAGAGAGGCAGAUGGGCUCAUCCAGGGUCACGCAGAGAGGGCUGCAGGGCAAGAGCACAGCUGGGUUCCCAAAUCCCAGGCCCACACCCACGCUGGCCUCCUUGUGAAUCUGCUUUGCACCCCACAACACACACAUUCCUUCCUGUCUUUGGGGCCAGGACCUGCACAGGAAUUCUGCUUUCUUGACCUCUGCAAGGGUUCAUUAAUGAGCCCCUCCCAGCCCCUAGGUCCUCUCCAGCCAGGACUAGGGAAGGGGAAGGUUAAGGGGAAACCAUUCCUAGAUUUAACCCCAAACAGAUACUAGAGGGCAUGUGGGGUUUGUUUUCUUUUAAAAGCUUUAAAGGAGUAUGGUGUGUGUGUGUGUGUGUGUGUGUGUGUGUGUGACCCUAUAAUUAAUCAAGGGUCUUGGCUAAGAGAGGGAAGGUUAUUUUGUGUGUGUUUUUUUCUCCCUGCCCAAGCCUCAGGUUUUCCCAUCUGUAAAAUGGGAAUAAUAAAUCUCACAGACUCAUGAGAAUUGAAGGACUCAAGGGUAAAUGUACCCGGUCUAAUACAAGGAACACCACUGGUCAUCAAUAAAUGUCAACCCUGGUGUAUAGAGUUCCUUCUGCUGGAUGCUGGAAGCAGUCAUGGAAAGGAAUGCGAGGCCAUAAUCUAGCUCGUCACCGUGUUAUUUAAAACAAACAAGAAAUUACAAGUCCCUCGUUGCCUAGCAACGCUGAAACUAUAGCAGAUGGACUGGCCGUUCCAGGGCGUGGCCGCUUAGAAUCACAGUCUAACAUCCACGGCAGCAGAGCACGUACUUGGUUUGAGCUCUAACUGGAUGCUGGGCCCCGUGCUCUGCCCACAGGACGUCAUUCCUCCCGCCCCCCAGCCCCCUGGGACCAGCUUCAUUUCCAUCCCCACUCUAUAGACGAGAAUGCAGAAAUGCAUCCGAGGAAAACCAGUACGAUAUAAAACAGACCAUAUGUCACAAUUAUAUCUGAAUAAUCAUAUAGUUUUAAAAAGGCCAGAAGGGAAUUCAAAAUAGGACCGUGGUCAUAUUUUCCCCCUAAAAAAUAUCUAUCAUGUUGAUUUGUUACUUUUAAAAUCUUUUAGAAAAGUAGCUUGUAAUUUAAGCAGUGUGGGAGCACAGAAAACAACCAGACAGACCCAAUCCAGACUCCAGCUCUGGGACUUGCCAACUCUGUCACCUUAGAGGAGUCAUUCCGUGGCUCCAUGCCUCAGUUUCCUGUUUGAGAAACCAGUCUGAUCUUUGGGGGUGAUUAUUAUUUUCUUACUUUUCCUAAUCUCUAAUUUCUAACUGUUGUCUAGCUUUCACCUCUACAACUUGUACAAUAUGGAGAAAAGACAUUUAAAAAAGAGUAUCUGGAUCUCCCCUUGUGGCUCAGUGGAAACAAACCCGACCAAUAUCCAGGAGGAUGCAGGUUUGAUCCUGGCCUUGCUCAUGUUUAAAGUUGUGCUGUCCAGGAUGUGAGCCACACAUGACUUCUGAGCACCUGAAAUGUGACUAGUCUUGCCUGAAUGUACUUUAAGAUUUCUAAGACUUAGUAUAAAAAAAAAAAGAAUAUAAAAUUUCUCUCUUUAUUUCAUAGAUUACACGUUGAGAGAAUACUUUGGAUAUACUUGGUUAAAUAAAACAUAUCAUUCAAAUCUAUUUCACCUGUUUCACUUCACUUCUUUUAAUAUGGCUACAUUUAAAGACAGUUUAAAAUUACCUAUAUGCCUGCUUGAAUUGUAUGUCUGUUGGAUCACACUAGGUUAAAGAAUGGGUGAGUUCACAUAAGAAUCUAGACUUCUGGAUCCUCUUGAAAAUUAUGGCAACACUGAGCCUGCAGGGUGGCAGUCAGCAGGGGCUGAGUAGCUGAUGAGCUAUUUAGGUGGUACUGCCCUAAGUUUGCCAGAGUCUCCACCACUCUCUAUUGUAUCACACCUGUCCCUCUUCCCAUGUUUAUAUAACCUACGCUUCAGGCAUGUGAGUUUACAACCCCUUGUCUAUGUAUACUUUAUCUGAGCAAUCACCUCCCUCCUACAGUUGAAGAAGCCACAGAGCUGGUGACCCCAAGUCAACCCAUCCUUCUAAGAAGAACACCUGUUCUUCCCACCAUGCAUGAACUUCCUUGGCUGAUGUCCCAGAAGCACUGUAGAUGUUGUUCCAGGAAUAUUCACUUACCUAAAUCCCCAGGACGUGGCAGGCCCUGGGAUUCAGUGAGAAGCAGAUUCAGUCCCCUCCACUUGAAUAUUUCCUGCCCCUCUGCCAUGGAUCUCCUCAAGCAGUCCUGCCCUCAUCAAUUUGUCCUCCCGGCUACAGGCAUGACCAACUCACCUCCCCUGCUCAGAGCUUUUACAUGGCUUCACUGAUUUCACAAUAAGGUUCAAACACACCAACCAGCCCCCAGGGCUUCCACAACUGGGGGCCCCCUGACAGUGAAGCCUCACACUGGAGCUUUCCCCAUGGGUACCCCUGCUCCUCUCUCCUCCUAAUCAUCCCUCUGUUCCUUCUCUAUUGGAUCAUUCCUACCAGGUUCUAAGCAUGAUGCACUCUCAUCCAUCUUAAAAACGCUUUCUUGAACUCAGGGCUUCUCCUCUUGCUUCAUUUCUGUUUUCCUCCAUGCUUACAAUCCCUUUCUACAAUGCUUACUCUGAAGGGGAUGAACAGCAGAAUAUCAGCCACUGCAACAGUCCUCAGAGCUUAAAUUUUACAAACCACUUUAUAACAUGGAGGCAGUACUAUUCCAGAUGAGGAAGCUGAGGUCUGUACUGGGGAAGGUCUUUUAACUAGUGUGAUAGGAGUCCAUGUUUCCUGAUUUUUAAUGCCAUGGUAUCUUCAUCAGCCCUGGAUCAGAGCAUACCAGAAGAACCGAGGGGUAACCUUGAGUCUGAAAGGUGAGGGGCAAGUAGAAUAAUGUAGACAAGUUCCAGAAGGUGAGCCUGCAUGCAGAGGCCAAAUCUGAGCAGGAGGCAGAUGGGAGAAACUCAACUUGGAGGAGAUCUGAGGGCCAAGUCUGCAAUGAUCCAAGGCUUGACAAGGUAGGUGGGAGCCUGGGAAGAAGAGGGAACUCACAGACAUGGAGAACAAGCAUGGUCAGGCCUUCAUCUUUCUCUUUCUUUAUCGUCCCAGACACCCU